rnacentral:rRNA from 1 species
CGAGAGCAUGAAGGCGGAAUCGCUAGUAAUCGCGGAUCAGCAUGCCGCGGUGAAUACGUUCCCAGGCCUUGUACACACCGCCCGUCACACCAUGGGAUUUGGAUUCACCCGAAGGCACUGCGCUAACCCGCAAGGGAGGCAGGUGACCACGGUGGGUUUAGAGACUGGGGUGAAGUCGUAACAAGGUAGCCGUAGGGGAACCUGCGGCUGGAUCACCUCCUUUCUAAGGA